CUCAAUUUGGCAGAAAAUUGCAUUAAACUUAGAAUUUAAAAAAAGAAAU
rnacentral:tRNA from 1 species